GACGUAGGGCGCGAGCGUUGUCCGGAUUUAUUGGGCGUAAAGGGUGCGUAGGCGGUCGGGUAAGUCUGGCGUGAAAUCUCCAAGCCUAACUUGGAAACUGCGUUGGAUACUAUCCGGCUCGAGGACUGGAGGGGAGACUGGAAUACUUGGUGUAGCAGUGAAAUGCGUAGAUAUCAAGUGGAACACCAGUGGCGAAGGCGAGUCUCUGGACAUUUACUGACGCUGAGGCACGAAAGCCAGGGGAGCAAACGGG
rnacentral:rRNA from 1 species